rnacentral:lncRNA from 1 species
GUAGUGGUUACAGUGUCUGCUUGUCACGCGGUUGGCCUGGGUUCAAAUCCCCGUGGUGGAGUGUGUGUUGAUACGUGGUUUAUGACUCUCUGUGCAGUGUUCUUGUGAUGUGUAAAUGCGUAUUCAUGAGUUGGAAUGCUCGAAAGAAGAAAAAAAGGAAGAGGGAGA